AUCGCUUCUCGGCCUUUUGGCUAAUAUAAAGUGUAGUAUCUGUUCUUAUCAGUUUAAUUCUCACUUCUCUGAGAGACAGGCAGUCUGUCUUCCUCAUUUGACAGAUUAGGGAGUCAAGGUGGACAUCCCCUUCUCACGCAGGCAAAUUUAUGCAAAACCCAGCUUGAAUAUGAU
rnacentral:snRNA from 1 species